UACGUAGGGGCCUAGCGUUGUCCGGAUUUAUUGGGCGUAAAGAGCUCGUAGGCGGUUUGGCAAGUCAGGUGUGAAAUCUCCGCGCUCAACGCGGAGGAGCCACCUGAUAUUGCCGUGACUUGAGUCCGGUAGGGGAGUGCGGAAUUCCUGGUGUAGCGGUGAAAUGCGCAGAUAUCAGGAGGAACACCAAUGGCGAAGGCAGCACUCUGGGCCGGUACUGACGCUGAGGAGCGAAAGCGUGGGGAGCAAACAGG
rnacentral:rRNA from 1 species